CCAAUAGCGUAUAUUAAAGUUGUUGCAGUUAAAAAGCUCGUAGUUGAAUUUCGAGACCGGUUUACUGGUCGUGCUUUUGUACGUACUGGUAUAAUCGGUUUCUCUUUUCUGACGAACUAUAAUGCCAUUAAUUUGGUGUUAUAGGGAAUCAGGACUGUUACUUUGAAAAAAUUAGAGUGUUUAAAGCAGGCUCACGCUUGAAUACAUUAGCAUGGAAUAACGGAAUAGGACGUUUGAUUCUAUUUUGUUGGUUUCUAGGAUCGACGUAAUGAUUAAUAGGGAUAGUUGGGGGCAUUAGUAUUCAAUCGUCAGAGGUGAAAUUCUUGGAUUUAUUGAAGACUAACUACUGCGAAAGCAUUUGCCAAGGAUGGUUUCAUUAAUCAAGAACGAAAGUUAGGGGAUCGAAGACGAUCAGAUACCGUCGUAGUCUUAACCAUAAACUAUGCCGACUAGGGAUCGGAUGAUGUUAAUUUUAAUGACUCAUUCGGCACCUUACG
rnacentral:rRNA from 1 species